AAAAAUUUAAAUUAAUUUACUAAAAAAUUAAUAGUUAUGUUCUUUAAAUUUAAAAAAUUUGGCGGUAUUUUAGUCUUAUUAGAGGAAUCUGUUUAUUAAUUGAUAAUCCACGAUUAAUUUUACUUAUUUUAAUUAAUUCAUAUAUCGCUGUCAUGAAUAUAUUUAAAAAUUUAUUUUCUUUAAUUAUUUUAAUAAUUUAUGUUAAGUCAAGAUGUGGUUUAUAAAUAAGAAUAUAAUGGAUUACAUUAAAUUUUAUUUUUGGAUUUAAAAUGAAAAUUAAGAUGAAAUUGGAUUUAAUAGUAAGUUUAAUUAAUUUAUUAAUAUGAAUAAAGAUCUA
rnacentral:rRNA from 1 species